rnacentral:rRNA from 1 species
AUUGAACGCUGGCGGCAGGCCUAACACAUGCAAGUCGAACGAGCGGCGGACGGGUGAGUAAUGUAUGGGCAACUGCCUGAUGGAGGGGGAUAACUCCUGGAAACGGUAGCUAAUACCGCAUACCAUCAGAUGAACCCAUAUGGGAUUAGCUGGUUGGUGGGGUAACGGCUCACCAAGGCGACGAUCCCUAGCUGGUCUGAGAGGAUGACCAGCAACAGUGGAAAGGAGACACGGCCCAGACUCCUACGGGAGGCGGCAGUGGGGAAUAUUGCACAAUGGGCGCAAGCCUGAUGCAGCAAUGCAGCGUGUAUGAAGAAGGCCUUCGGGUUGUAAAGUACUUGCAGAGGGGAGGCGGUACCCGCAGAAGAAGCACCGGCUAACUCCGUGCCAGCAGCCGCGGUAAUAC